UACGUAGGGGCCUAGCGUUGUCCGGAUUUAUUGGGCGUAAAGAGCUCGUAGGCGGUUCGGCAAGUCGGAUGUGAAAUCUCCACGCUCAACGUGGAGGGGCCAUUCGAAACUGCUGUGACUUGAGUCCGGUAGGGGAGUGUGGAAUUCCCGGUGUAGCGGUGAAAUGCGUAGAUAUCAGGAGGAACACCUGUGGUGUAGACAGCUUACUGGACCAUUUCUGACGCU
rnacentral:rRNA from 1 species